AUUCUUGAAAGAACUCCAGGAGGGUAGUUAUAAUGAGUGAUCCUCUCAUUUUCCCCAUUCUUUCUUUCAGACUUGCCAAAGAAGCUGCUUAUUUUACAGAAGGACGGUGCUGGCUGAAAGAUGCUUCCUUGAAACUGAGAGACUGCUGCCUUAGACAGGUCUCCUUGAAGAGCACAAGAAUUGCUUUCAGAUCAUCAGUGACUUAAUUGAACAAAUGGCAAAGAUCUUGCCAAAAUCUGAGAAGAUGUCCUCUGACCUUCCUCACCAGGAGUGAAUAUAUGUCAAUUCGUAUAUCCAAAUCUAUGAAAAGGAACAUGAAAUGGGAUCAACUAAAUUAUAUUGAAGACAUAUACAGAUACAUUAAGCUUUGGAAAACAUCUGGACUUUGGAAUACUGGUCCACACGUCUUUCAGAGAGUCUUUCACAGGCAUUUCUUGCUGCUGCCAUGGGAAGAAGGAUGUGUUUGCU